AUGGCUAAAUCGAAGACUCAGGAAGAAAAGGCUGAUGCCCAGGAAGUGGUGGCCAUGAAGUUGGACAUCGAGCACAUGGGAUCCAGGACGGAGGAGCUGAGCUCCAAGAUGGAGGGGAUGCAAGAGCAGGUCACGGCCCUGAAUGAAACCCUACUGCGAAUGGAAUCGCUGCUACGGGAGAAGCAGGCACCAGGUACUCCCUCCACAUCCAAGGAACAAGGGGAAGAGGUGACUUCGGGACAAAAAUCCCAGCCCACCCAAAACUCCUCUGAACCCUUGAUCUGGCACUCAGAAGUUCCACACUGGAGAAGAAAAGGUGGGCAAUAUCAGGAACAAAUCACUUAUGACCUGGAGCAGCCAAACCAAGAUGAGCAAGAACAACAAUUUGUUUACCCUGAAUUUCAACAACAGUACUAUGAAAUUGAGGGAGGGCAAGCUCAUGGUUGGGCAGAUCCUCAGCAGAAUAUGUACCAAGACAUACCAGUUUUCCCCCAGACCAAUGGUCGACCACCAUACUGGAACCAAACACCAUUAGCCCCUCCCAUGUUUCCACCAAACCAAUCCCACCACUACCCAGCACCACUACAGCCACAACCUUUGGUUUAUCCACCAAACCCACAGCCAUAUCCCCCUCAAACUCCUCAGAACCAUCCUACCAUUAAUUACCAGCCCUAUAACAUGCCACCACCCUACCCAUACCCCACCUCAAGAACAAUACAUACCACAACAACAACUAUCUAUCCCCAACCCCAUUAUCCAGUUGCUCCCUUCCAACAACAACAUAAUUACCCCCAACCUACACCCCAGAAUUCCUUCUAG
rnacentral:rRNA from 1 species